rnacentral:rRNA from 1 species
CUCCUGACUGACCGAUAGUGAACCAGUACCGUGAGGGAAAGGCGAAAAGAACCCCGGCGAGGGGAGUGAAAAAGAACCUGAAACCGUGUACGUACAAGCAGUGGGAGCACGCUUAGGCGUGUGACUGCGUACCUUUUGUAUAAUGGGUCAGCGACUUAUAUUCUGUAGCAAGGUUAACCGAAUAGGGGAGCCGAAGGGAAACCGAGUCUUAACUGGGCGUUAAGUUGCAGGGUAUAGACCCGAAACCCGGUGAUCUAGCCAUGGGCAGGUUGAAGGUUGGGUAACACUAACUGGAGGACCGAACCGACUAAUGUUGAAAAAUUAGCGGAUGACUUGUGGCUGGGGGUGAAAGGCCAAUCAAACCGGGAGAUAGCUGGUUCUCCCCGAAAGCUAUUUAGGUAGCGCCUCGUGAAUUCAUCUCCGGGGGUAGAGCACUGUUUCGGCAAGGGGGUCAUCCCGACUUACCAACCCGAUGCAAACUGCGAAUACCGGAGAAUGUUAUCACGGGAGACACACGGCGGGUGCUAACGUCCGUCGUGAAGAGGGAAACAACCCAGACCGCCAGCUAAGGUCCCAAAGUCAUGGUUAAGUGGGAAACGAUGUGGGAAGGCCCAGACAGCCAGGAUGUUGGCUUAGAAGCAGCCAUCAUUUAAAGAAAGCGUAAUAGCUCACUGGUCGAGUCGGCCUGCGCGGAAGAUGUAACGGGGCUAAACCAUG